AUUGAACGCUGGCGGAAUGCUUUACACAUGCAAGUCGAACGGCAGCACGGACUUCGGUCUGGUGGCGAGUGGCGAACGGGUGAGUAAUGUAUCGGAACGUGCCCAGUCGUGGGGGAUAACGUAGUGAAAAUUACGCUAAUACCGCAUACGAUCUAUGGAUGAAAGCGGGGGAUCGCAAGACCUCGCGCGAUUGGAGCGGCCGAUAUCAGAUUAGGUAGUUGGUGGGGUAAAGGCCCACCAAGCCAACGAUCUGUAGCUGGUCUGAGAGGACGACCAGCCACACGGUAACUGAGACACGGUCCAGACUCCUACGGGAGGCAGCAGUGGGGAAUUUUGGACAAGGGGCGAAAGCCUGAUCCAGCCAUUCCGCGUGCAGGAUGAAGGCCCUCGGGUUGUAAACUGCUUUUGUACAGAACGAAAGGGUUUCUACUAAUACUAGGAGCUCAUGACGGUACUGUAAGAAUAAGCACCGGCUAACUACGUGCCAGCAGCCGCCGUAA
rnacentral:rRNA from 1 species